GGCCGGAAUAGCUCAUUUGGUAGAGCAGAGGACUGAAAA
rnacentral:tRNA from 1 species